rnacentral:lncRNA from 1 species
UUUUGCAUGGCAUUGCUUUUCGACAUGUGCUCAGGUCAGCCCCACUGUGACAAGGUGACACUGGCUUUGGGAAGGGAGCCGAAAGACUCCUUUCUGAAAGCGUGAGAGCUGGUGUUGUGGCUCUGAAAGUUCGGGAGAAUGUUCCAUGCAGUCACCUGGCUUUGGCUUGGUCUUGGCUCACAAGCGCUUGAGGAACACAGGAUUGUCGACAAGGACCGAGUUAACCCCCUUCCAAAGGGAUUGAAUGGUUUACCAAGAAGCCAAAGUCAAAUCAAUCAAGCCAGGAAAGAAGUUCUAGGUGAAAGAGCUGCACUCCUCAGAGACGACCAAUUUUUUUCGAUUUUCGACUUCCCAGUGAUUUGAAUACUUUAUCCAUGCUAAUUCAAUAAACAAUAAUACAGUCAUU